rnacentral:rRNA from 1 species
UACAGAGGUCCCAAGCGUUGUUCGGAAUUAUUGGGCGUAAAGGGCGCGUAGGCGGUUCGGCAAGUCUUCAGUGAAAUCUCUGGGCUCAACUCAGAGUCUGCUGGGGAAACUGCCGGGCUUGAGUGUGGGAGAGGAGAGUGGAAUUCCUGGUGUAGCGGUGAAAUGCGUAGAUAUCAGGAGGAACACCUGAGGCGAAAGCGGCUCUCUGGACCACAACUGACGCUGAGGCGCGAAAGCUAGGGGAGCAAACAGG